rnacentral:rRNA from 1 species
UGAGGAAUAUUGGACAAUGGGUGAGAGCCUGAUCCAGCCAUCCCGCGUGAAGGACGACGGCCCUAUGGGUUGUAAACUUCUUUUGUAUAGGGAUAAACCUUUCCACGUGUGGAAAGCUGAAGGUACUAUACGAAUAAGCACUGGCUAACUCCGUGCCAGCAGCCGCGGUAAUACGGAGGGUGCAAGCGUUAUCCGGAUUUAUUGGGUUUAAAGGGUCCGUAGGCGGAUCUGUAAGUCAGUGGUGAAAUCUCACAGCUUAACUGUGAAACUGCCAUUGAUACUGCAGGUCUUGAGUAAGGUAGAAGUAGCUGGAAUAAGUAGUGUAGCGGUGAAAUGCAUAGAUAUUACUUAGAACACCAAUUGCGAAGGCAGGUUACUAUGUCUUAACUGACGCUGAUGGACGAAAGCGUGGGGAGCGAACA